UUUUACUGCAACACUCUCCUCUCUCAAACCUCUCCUCCUCCUCUCUUCAAUGCAACUUCUCCCAAUCUCAAUCGGGACCUCAAAAUUUCUAAAUCUUUUCAAUUUCACCCCUCCAAGAGUCUCCCCAAUUCGCCAAUGCUGAAACUCCUCUCCUCCACCGCCGCGUCAUGCCCGCAGGCCCACGCCUUCGCCACCGUUCCGGCUCUCAGAACCAAGCCUUCAUCUUCCUCGCCUCUGUUCGACGCGCUGAGUCAACUCACCCGGUUGACGGCUCGGAGGAGCCGCACGGUGACUUACAGGAGAUUUUUCUGCUCCGAUUCUUCUGGAGACAGCGGUGAAGAUGGGUCCCUGGCCGAGGUUGAGCUGAAGGAUGCUAAAGCCGACUCCGAAGAGUCCGACCCGAAGAGUUCUUCAGCUAUUGUGUCUACGAGCCCUCGGCCCGAGGAUUAUUUAACGGUUUUGGCAUUACCAUUGCCUCAUAGACCUCUUUUUCCUGGUUUCUACAUGCCAAUUUAUGUCAAGGAUCCAAAAUUGUUAGCAGCUUUACAGGAAAACCGAAAACGUCAAGCCCCUUAUGCUGGGGCAUUCCUUCUGAAAGAUGAGCCGGGCAUUGAUUCUUCAGGUUCUGAAACUGAAAAAAGUGUAUAUGAUCUUAAAGGAAAAGAGUUGUUUAAUCGCCUUCAUGAAGUUGGUACACUUGCUCAGAUUACAAGCAUCCAAGGAGACCAGGUUGUCCUUAUUGGCCACAGGCGACUGCGAAUGACGGAGUUGGUUAGUGAGGACCCCCUGACUGUCAAAGUUGAUCAUAUCAAGGAUAAACCAUAUGACAAGGAUGAUGAUGUUAUAAAGGCAACAUCAUUUGAGGUUAUAUCUACUCUAAGAGAUGUUUUGAAGACAAGUUCCCUUUGGAGAGAUCAUGUUCAAACAUAUACUCAGCAUAUUGGUGAUUUUAGCUUUCCAAGGCUAGCAGAUUUUGGAGCUGCAAUAUCUGGUGGAAACAAAUUGCAAUGUCAGCAAGUACUUGAAGAGCUAGAUGUGUAUAAACGCUUGAAACUGACACUGGAGUUGGUGAAGAAAGAAAUGGAAAUCAGAAAAAUUCAGGAAUCGAUUGCAAAAGCAAUUGAGGAAAAGAUCAGUGGUGAGCAGCGCCGGUACUUGUUGAAUGAGCAACUUAAGGCCAUAAAGAAGGAGCUUGGAUUAGAGACAGAUGACAAAACAGCCCUUUCCUCAAAGUUCAGGGAAAGGAUUGAACAAUACAAGGACAAAUGUCCACCUCAUAUUCUGCAAGUUAUAGAAGAGGAGCUUACAAAACUGCAGCUGUUAGAGGCCAGUUCUAGUGAAUUCAAUGUAACUCGCAACUAUUUGGAUUGGUUGACUGCACUACCUUGGGGAAGCUACAGUGAUGAGAAUUUUGAUGUCCUCCGGGCACAACAAAUUCUUGAUGAAGACCAUUAUGGAUUGACUGAUGUGAAGGAAAGGAUAUUAGAAUUUAUUGCUGUUGGAAAACUCAGGGGAACCUCCCAAGGAAAAAUCAUCUGUCUCUCUGGCCCUCCUGGAGUGGGCAAAACUAGCAUUGGUCGUUCAAUUGCUCGUGCUUUAAACCGUAAAUUCUUUAGGUUUUCAGUUGGAGGUUUAGCUGAUGUUGCUGAAAUCAAGGGGCAUCGUCGAACCUAUAUUGGUGCUAUGCCAGGAAAGAUGGUGCAGUGCCUAAAAAAUGUAGGGACAGCUAAUCCUCUUGUUCUGAUUGAUGAAAUAGACAAGUUGGGAAGGGGACAUGCUGGUGAUCCGGCAAGCGCAUUGUUGGAGCUCCUUGAUCCAGAACAAAAUGCUAAUUUUCUGGACCACUAUCUUGAUGUUCCAAUUGACCUAUCAAAGGUUCUGUUUGUUUGCACAGCAAAUGUUGUGGAGAAUAUACCCAACCCUCUCUUGGACAGAAUGGAAGUAAUUGCUAUUGCUGGGUAUAUCACUGAUGAGAAAAUGCACAUUGCCAGGGACUAUUUGGAGAAGACUACGCGUGAAGCAUGUGGUAUCAAGCCUGAACAGGUUGAGGUGACUGAUGCAGCGCUUCUUGGCCUGAUUGAAAAUUACUGCCGAGAAGCAGGGGUUCGUAAUCUUCAAAAGCAAAUAGAAAAGAUUUACCGCAAGAUUGCUUUGAAACUUGUGAGGCAAGGAGCAUUAAGUGAAUCUGCUGUUGCUGGAGAGGUUGUGGAGACCGAUAAUGCAAAGGCAGAAAAUGUUGAUGAAUCAAGUCAAAAAAUAGCUGGAAGUGACAUGAAGGUUGAAGCAGAAACAGUGGAGACUAGCAGUCACAAUCAAACUGCUGAAACCGCUGUCGAGGCUGUGACAAUACAGACGGAUGACCAAUCUCAGAGUGAUGUUGAUUUAAAGGAUAUAACAGAACGGGAGAAAGUACAGGAUAAUGAAGCUGCCAAAGCAGUUGAGAAAGUAUUGGUUGACGAAUCAAACUUAGCCGACUAUGUUGGCAAACCUGUUUUCCAUGCUGAGCGCAUCUAUGAUCAAACUCCAGUUGGAGUUGUGAUGGGUCUUGCUUGGACUGCAAUGGGUGGCUCCACCUUGUACAUAGAGACCACUCAGGUUGAGCAAGGAGAUGGAAAAGGGGCUUUGCAUGUUACUGGUCAACUUGGAGAUGUUAUGAAAGAAAGUGCACAAAUCGCUCACACGGUAGCGAGAUCAAUCUUACUUGAGAAAGAACCAAAUAGCCCUUUCUUCGCCAAUUCCAAACUUCAUCUCCACGUUCCCGCAGGGGCCACUCCCAAGGAUGGGCCUAGUGCAGGUUGCACCAUGAUCACAUCUAUGUUGUCCCUUGCCAUGAAGAAGAUUGUCAGGAAGGAUCUAGCAAUGACUGGGGAAGUAACACUAACUGGGAAAAUCCUUCCAAUUGGUGGGGUUAAGGAGAAAACAAUAGCAGCAAGGAGGAGCGAUGUGAAGACUAUCAUAUUCCCUUCAGCCAACAGGAGGGAUUUUGAUGAGCUUACCCCAAAUGUGAAGGAAGGCUUAGAUGUUCACUUUGUGGCUGACUACAGCCAGAUAUUCAAUGUGGCUUUCAGUGAUGAACAAAAUAAAGAAAAGUAAACCCUUCUUCCCCACAAAUUCUUGAUGAAAACUCUGUUUUCUGGGUCUUCAGGAGUAGAGUUAUCCUUUUUCUUUUGACUUGAGAUAACCAGUAGUGGAAUUAUUCUAUUCAAGAGAAAAGAAGCAAGCCCAGGAAACUGUGAAAUGGAGCAACCAAUGCCACGACAAAAUCUACAUGCGCAGAAGUUCUAAGUUUACUUAUAAUAAUACAUGAUUGUGAAAUAAAAUGUUGAUAUACUGAUGACAAGUGUCAGCAAUGAUCAUAAAUUGGAUAUGAUAUAAAGUGGGAAAGACAGAAAAGUCUAUGAAGCAGAGAGUGACAGGUAACAGAGGCACUAUCCAAAUGAUUCCUUGUAUCAGAGAAACCAACAAUGAAGAUGGUGGUCCUCUCUAUGGAUUGGACGCUUAAAUAGUGGGUUGGUGUCGUCCUCCAUUGUUGACAACAUCAGUACUACUCUACUCUACUCUACUCUACAGGUCUACCACUACUCUUAUUGCUCCACAUUUCCACCAUUUUAUUGCUUCUUUCAGAACCCCUCUCAGGGCCAAAAACACUUCCAUGAAAUGAGUGUCUGUACCAAUUAUGGUGCGUAGCUUGCAUAUACAUACUGUGAUAAUGUGUGCUGGAGAUGGAACUUUAUCUUUAAUGUUCAGUUCUUUGAACGUAGAAUCUUUUAGUUAGGGAUGAGCAUCUAUCUAAUCACUAUGUGUUUCUUGCCUAUUUGUAUAUACUUUGUGAUGGACGUUUGUCC